rnacentral:rRNA from 1 species
GACGAACGCUGGCGGCGUGCCUAAUACAUGCAAGUCGAACGCUUCUUUUUCCACCGGAGCUUGCUCCACCGGAAAAAGAGGAGUGGCGAACGGGUGAGUAACACGUGGGUAACCUGCCCAUCAGAAGGGGAUAACACUUGGAAACAGGUGCUAAUACCGUAUAACAAUCGAAACCGCAUGGUUUUGAUUUGAAAGGCGCUUUCGGGUGUCGCUGAUGGAUGGACCCGCGGUGCAUUAGCUAGUUGGUGAGGUAACGGCUCACCAAGGCCACGAUGCAUAGCCGACCUGAGAGGGUGAUCGGCCACAUUGGGACUGAGACACGGCCCAAACUCCUACGGGAGGCAGCAGUAGGGAAUCUUCGGCAAUGGACGAAAGUCUGACCGAGCAACGCCGCGUGAGUGAAGAAGGUUUUCGGAUCGUAAAACUCUGUUGUUAGAGAAGAACAAGGAUGAGAGUAACUGUUCAUCCCUUGACGGUAUCUAACCAGAAAGCCACGGCUAACUACGUGCCAGCAGCCGCGGUAAUACGUAGGUGGCAAGCGUUGUCCGGAUUUAUUGGGCGUAAAGCGAGCGCAGGCGGUUUCUUAAGUCUGAUGUGAAAGCCCCCGGCUCAACCGGGGAGGGUCAUUGGAAACUGGGAGACUUGAGUGCAGAAGAGGAGAGUGGAAUUCCAUGUGUAGCGGUGAAAUGCGUAGAUAUAUGGAGGAACACCAGUGGCGAAGGCGGCUCUCUGGUCUGUAACUGACGCUGAGGCUCGAAAGCGUGGGGAGCAAACAGGAUUAGAUACCCUGGUAGUCCACGCCGUAAACGAUGAGUGCUAAGUGUUGGAGGGUUUCCGCCCUUCAGUGCUGCAGCUAACGCAUUAAGCACUCCGCCUGGGGAGUACGACCGCAAGGUUGAAACUCAAAGGAAUUGACGGGGGCCCGCACAAGCGGUGGAGCAUGUGGUUUAAUUCGAAGCAACGCGAAGAACCUUACCAGGUCUUGACAUCCUUUGACCACUCUAGAGAUAGAGCUUCCCCUUCGGGGGCAAAGUGACAGGUGGUGCAUGGUUGUCGUCAGCUCGUGUCGUGAGAUGUUGGGUUAAGUCCCGCAACGAGCGCAACCCUUAUUGUUAGUUGCCAUCAUUCAGUUGGGCACUCUAGCAAGACUGCCGGUGACAAACCGGAGGAAGGUGGGGAUGACGUCAAAUCAUCAUGCCCCUUAUGACCUGGGCUACACACGUGCUACAAUGGGAAGUACAACGAGUCGCGAAGUCGCGAGGCUAAGCUAAUCUCUUAAAGCUUCUCUCAGUUCGGAUUGCAGGCUGCAACUCGCCUGCAUGAAGCCGGAAUCGCUAGUAAUCGCGGAUCAGCACGCCGCGGUGAAUACGUUCCCGGGCCUUGUACACACCGCCCGUCACACCACGAGAGCUUGUAACACCCGAAGUCGGUGAGGUAACCUUUUGGAGCCAGCCGCCUAAGGUGGGAUAGAUGAUUGGGGUG